GAAAAACCAGUCAUACCCUUAUUCUCUUUCAGUGGCUUAGACUACUAUUUGCUUCAAAAAAAUCCAAAGCAGGGGCUGAAAUAUUAACUUUACACAAUCAAUUAUCCUGAACCUUUCCUACAUUUUGCACUUACUUCAAGCAUCCACUCCGAUCCCAUAGUUCGUGUAUAUACACCGAAGAAAAUCCAAUAUGAGCUAAAAGAUAGUCGAAAGAAGACUACAUUAAAAUUAAAUUAAGCUUACCCAGUCAGAAAGUCCAACUGCCAAAGCUUGUGGAGAAGUUUGCAGAAAAGUCCAGUUUAUUUCAGGCUGGUUUGACGGAGACGGUUAACCGGAGUAUACUGGAAUCUUCGAGAAAAUGUUAUAAGAAAUGUCAGUCAGGUAGUAUAACACGCAAGCCCAAUGAUUU